AUUUGGAUAGAUGUUGUGUCUUCCUCACCUCUGAUCCUGGGUCAUCUCAAGCCUGCUGUCUAUGGGUCUGGCUUUAUUCUUGCUUACCUUACAGUAAUGCCAACAUGCAAACUCAGACUAAAGAACUGAUGCUUUCAACUAUCAGAUUACACAUGAAGGAACCUCUCAAUCAGAGAUGGAUGGAGGCUUAGCCACACCGGAAAAUACAAAUCAGGACAUGAGUUCUGCUAGGAGGAAUGAGUCCUCUAGGCUUUGCACCAAUUUUUAGAGUCUUUAAAUAAAGGCUGAUUGCUUUGGGA